AUGGCACCUACUCAAGACGAGCAUAGCUCUCAAGAGUUGCUUCAGACUCAAGUUCAUCUUUGGCACCAUGCAUUGGGAUUUGUCAAGUCCAUGGCACUCAAGUGUGCGAUGGAGCUGCAAAUCCCUAACACCAUCCAACACCAUGGUGGGUCUUUGACCCCUUCUGAGUUGGCCAUGAAGAUUGGACUCCAUUCGUCUAAGCUUCCCCGCUUACUACGAUUCAUGCGUGUGCUCACCGUCUCAGGUAUCUUUGUUGUUCAUGAAGUAGCCUCCCCAGACAAAGAGGUUACUUAUGGGCUUACCCCAACCACACGCCUUCUCGCUAGUGAUGAAGUUAAAUCAAGCAUAUUUCCUAUUCUGUCUUUGAUGCUUGGUACAACUGCCAUUACCCCUUUUCUUGGCAUGCAUUCAUGGUUCCUAGAUGAGCAUUCCAUGUCCCUGUUCAAAAAGGUUCACGUUGACAUUUGGGAGAUGACUGACCAGGACAAUACUUACAACCAGCAAAUCAAUAACGCAAUGGUUUCUGAUAGUAAUUUUCUCAUGGAUAUCAUCUUGAAGGAGUGUGGUGAUGUAUUUCUUGGCAUAAACUCACUUGUUGACGUCGCUGGAGGGCACGGUGGAGCUGCGAGAGCAAUUGCAAAGGCGUUCCCGCAGAUGAAAUGCACCGUGUUGGAUCUCCCUCAUGUGGUUGCAGAAGCCCCUAGUGAUGCCUAUGUGUCAUUUAUUUCUGGCGAUAGGUUUAAGUACAUUCCACCAUCAGAUGUUGUUUUCCUGAAGUGGGUUUUUCAUGAUUGGGGUGAUGAAGACUGUGUCAAGCUGUUAAAAAAUUGCAAGGCAGCUAUCCCUCCCAAAGAUGCUGGUGGAAAGGUGAUAAUCGUUGAUAUGGUAGUUGGAUCUGGGCCAAAUGACAUUGUAGCAAGAGAGACACAGGUUUUGUAUGAUCUCUUUAUCAUGUCUAUUGAGGGCAUUGAGCGGGAGGAACUUGAGUGGAAGAAGAUAUUCAUGGAAGCUGGGUUCGGCGACUACAAAAUUAUAUCAGUGCUGGGAGUUAGGUCUGUUAUUGAGCUCUACCCUUGA
rnacentral:rRNA from 1 species